AGUGAACGCUGGCGGUAGGCCUAACACAUGCAAGUCGAACGGCAGCACAGUAAGAGCUUGCUCUUACGGGUGGCGAGUGGCGGACGGGUGAGGAAUACAUCGGAAUCUACUUUUUCGUGGGGGAUAACGUAGGGAAACUUACGCUAAUACCGCAUACGACCUACGGGUGAAAGCAGGGGAUCUUCGGACCUUGCGCGAUUGAAUGAGCCGAUGUCGGAUUAGCUAGUUGGCGGGGUAAAGGCCCACCAAGGCGACGAUCCGUAGCUGGUCUGAGAGGAUGAUCAGCAAGACGGGAACAAAGACAAGGUCCAGACUCCAGCGGGAGGCAGCAGUGGGGAAUAUUGGACAAUGGGCGCAGGCUUGCUCCAGCCAUACCGCGUGGAUGAAGAAGACCUUCGGGUUGUAAAGCCCUUUUGUUGGGAAAGAAAAGCAGCAGGUGAACACCCCGCUGUUCUGACGGUACCGAAAGAAUAAGCACCGGCUAACUUCGUG
rnacentral:rRNA from 1 species